CAAAUUUGAAUCCCUACUAAAGAAACAAAGCUGGACAUGGGAGUUUCCUUAUCUUCAAUAUAGAUUAUUUUGCUGUUUCCCGGGAAACAAAAUUUCAGCAAAUAAGUUCGAGCAUCAGAGCCCGAGUUCUUCAUUAGUUUUGAAGAUAGCCCCAAAUGGGUCCAGUGGGAGAAGAUUCUUGGUCUUUUCCAUCUGCCUUGUGGUCGAUCUCACGCGCUGCCACCACUACGAUGGAAGUGUUCAAUUUAUCUGCAAAUACCAACUGACAGCAGCUGGUGGUGGUUAUAAACAGUUCAUAAGUGAGUGGAGUUCCUUUAUAGAGGAUGAGACAGGGUGGAAGUGUAUGGGUGAUCAUGUGUUGAUUUUGUUUAGUGAGGGUAUGGUUAAAAAAGACAAGGAUUAUGAGGAGGCUUCAUUUGAAUUCUACAUUAAAAAUCCCUAUUACAAGGUAGAAGAAGGAGAAGUAAUUGAAGACGAAUAUAUAAAGGUGGACAAAUGUGGUGUACAUGUAUCUUAUGUGGAUGAAGAACCCAGCACCACCCCCACAACAUGAAAGUCCUAGCCACACUUAAGCACUAAACCUAAUUCUUCAGUCGCAUAAGGAAUGAAGAUGACAGAACAGAGACAAUAGGGAAUGACAAAUCUUUGGAGCUUAAAUGAUGCCACUGCUUAAUUGGAGUUUUAGCCAUACAAGGAGGAACAACUAAGCUAUCAGUUAAUCAAGAGCCGCAACAAGAGUGUCGGCUACGACGGUGUGAGGAGCGUCAGGGAAGUCACCUUCGCUUCCGGUCUUCCGGCUUCGAUGAGUACCAAAAGGCUCGAUAUUUUGGACGACGCGAAGUGUGCAUUGAACUUCUUUUUGGUAAUAGUGUGUCUUGAGCUUUAGGGUCAUCGGGGAUGAGCAUAGGCCGAGGAACUACAGGUGAAAGGGUUAUGAACCAAGACCCCUCAGCAGAGUAGGCUUAGUUUUGGACGCUAUUUCGAAGAACGCAAUUUGAUGGAAGAAUGUAGGUUUCGUGUUUUGCAGACACGUGGUUAAUCAACCCAACAAUCAGGUGAUUCUCCGACUUAGGAUUGGACGGUGACUCUGGAGCUUGGGUUUCAUGUUUUGGCUUAAGUAUUAUGGAUUUUCUUUAUGUUUAAUAUGGAUGUUUUGGAUUUUCUUUGGUUUUUCGGACUUUUGGACGUUUAAAGUUUUGUUUAGAACAUUAGGAUUAUUUUUUUGUAUUUAUUUCGUAAUAGAUUUUAACUUUUAGUGACGCUUAACUUAAGAUAACUAAAAAUGAACCAAAGUUUUGAAGAUUGAA